rnacentral:rRNA from 1 species
CGGGAGGCAGCAGUGGGGAAUAUUGGACAAUGGGCGAAAGCCUGAUCCAGCAAUGCCGCGUGAGUGAUGAAGGCCUUAGGGUUGUAAAGCUCUUUUACCCGGGAUGAUAAUGACAGUACCGGGAGAAUAAGCUCCGGCUAACUCCGUG